rnacentral:tRNA from 1 species
UCCCUGAUGGCUCAGACAGUAGAGAAUCUGCCUCUAAUGCAGGAGACCCAGGUUUGGCCCCUGGGUGGGGAA